GAUGGAGCACUGCCGCGUGUGUGAUGAAGGGUUUCGGCUCGUAAAACACUGUUGUAAGAGAAGAAUGACAUUGAGAGUAACUGUUCAAUGUGUGACGGUAUCUUACCAGAAAGGAACGGCUAAAUACGUGCCAGCAGCCGCGGUAAU
rnacentral:rRNA from 1 species